rnacentral:lncRNA from 1 species
UCAUACAUUCACUAGCACUCAUCCACUUCAUGUACAUUUCAUACAAACAAUUCAUACAUGGCAAUACAAGUUAAAGUUUUGGUUUAAACUUUGAAUCAUCAAUUUGAGUUUACAUACAUGCAUUUUCCAUUUCAUGAGCAUGUUUACAUAAUCAUUGUAAGUGAGUUUUUUUUCCCAUUACACAGGCAUGUUACAUACAUAAGCAUGGUACAUGAAUCAUCCAUGAACUCAUUUCAUUAUAAGCAUUAAUCAUAUUAUAUCCUAUGAUAAUUACAUGGCAUACUACAUGUUGCAACACAUGGGUUUGAAUCAAAAGGAAAAACAUAAAACAUCUUGCUUUGAGUGGCAGCCCUUACCAUGAGGUUUCCAUGCACCAUAUACCUUAAUUGACCAUACUAUAUUGAGCUCAUAUUGGGCCUACAAACACAACAAUCAAUUAGCAUCAAGUCUCCAUUUGGCAACAAAUUCAUAGUAAAGCAUAAUACCACAACAUCAUAAGCAACCUGCAGCAUUCCACAUCAUCCUUCCAUCCAUCAUUAAACAAGCCUGCACAACAAUGAGAAGCACCUUCAAGCUACAUCAGUCAUAACAGCCUUGCAUCCAUCAUCAGACCAACCAUAAUAUGCCUACAACAAUGCAUCACAUCAACCUUGCAUCCAUAAAACAAAUCACCUGCAAAACAUUCAUAAGCAGCCCAUCAACACUCCCUGCAUCAUCAUUCAUCAUCAAUCAUUAAUCCAAUGCACCAUGGUUCUUGCUUCGAGCUCCAUGCUCCCUACCAACCUACAUCAAAGCAAGCAGUUCAUGAGUUUCACAUCAAUUAAGCACCCCGUCAGCAAACUUGCAUCAUAACAAUAACAUGCCACUCAAUGCAAUCAACAAACUUGCAACAAUCACAUGAAUACAAGGGAAAACUCAUGAGCAUCACACUAAUUCCAAUGGCCCUACAUUUACAAAGUACUGCACUGCAACAACCAACUACACCGAUUUAAACACAAUGUCACAAUAUUAAUACAUUCACACACCUGCAUCCUUCCAUCCAAUACAGCUAGCGGUUCACAUCAUCACAAAAUAAACAACAAUAACUAAUAGCAGCAACAUUCAAUUCACAAGACAAGGCAAGGCAAUGCAAUAAAAACUUCACAGCAAUACACAUCAAACAAAACCAAAUAUACCUCAAUUUCACUUUUUUACUGCAGUAAAACAAACAAAACCAAAAAAACUACAUUUUCACACCAAAAGGACAUAAUACAAUCACUUUUUAAGAGACAAACAUACACAAUGGAAUAGACAAUUUCUACAGCACAACCAAGCUUCUAUUCCACUACCUCUGUGCCCUUAUUUACUGUUUCAAAAACCCUAACACUCUCACUAUAAAAAGGGAAAUCCACAAAGAAAAAAAGAGGGAGAUUCUAAGAUAGCAACUUUCAGAGAUAGUAAGAAACCUAACCAUUUUUUCAGCAGAACAAACCCCUAAUUCUCUUUUUAUUCUACACUCACUCUCACUUUCCAAACCUCACUCGAAUCCCCUCAGUAGACCUCACAAAUCUCUCAACACUCACUCACUAUCAAAACAGAAGAAGAAGGAGGAAAACACACAAAAGGAAAAGAGCAAGGGAAAUAAGAAACUAACCUAAAACAAUUUGUUGUCGUUUGUUUUGCUCUGGUCAUCUUCUCCGACGAGGCAACAACUCGAGCUCACCCAUUUCAUCAAACAAGAGUUACCAUAAGGUAGAGCUCCACUUGAGGAUCAAAAACCCAAAAUCAAUUGUUUAGUUUUGUGUCAUUCCAUCAUUUAAUUUUCGAUUCUAUAGCUAGGGUUCUUGUGAUUUCUCUUUCAAUUAGGCUUAUUGGUUGGGUUUUAGUAACUAUGGUCUUGGGAUUCAUGAUCUAGGGGUUGAUACAUAAGGUUUUAUGUAUUUAGUUUCAGUAUAGGAGCUCCGCCGCCACCGACAAUGAGCUUCGGCGUGGAAGAGCGGGAAAGAGCUCCGAGGAUGCUCUCUUUAAAAUUUUAAAACAUGGGUUUGGGGUUUUUGAGCGUGUUUCAAAAUCCGUAUUUCACUUUGUUUUGGUUUGGGCUUUAAUUCCAUUGAGGCCUACACUUGUUCCUUUCUGC